CUACGGGACGCAGCAGUGGGGAAUAUUGGACAAUGGGGGCAACCCUGAUCCAGCCAUGCCGCGUGUGUGAAGAAGGCCUUUUGGUUGUAAAGCACUUUAAGCAGGGAGGAGAGGCUAAUGGUUAAUACCCAUUAGAUUAGACGUUACCUGCAGAAUAAGCACCGGCUAACUCUGUGCCAGCAGCCGCGGUAAUACAGAGGGUGCGGCGUUAAUCGGAAUUACUGGGCGUAAAGCGAGUGUAGGUGGCUCAUUAAGUCACAUGUGAAAUCCCCGGGCUUAACCUGGGAACUGCAUGUGAUACUGGUGGUGCUAGAAUAUGUGAGAGGGAAGUAGAAUUCCAGGUGUAGCGGUGAAAUGCGUAGAGAUCUGGAGGAAUACCGAUGGCGAAGGCAGCUUCCUGGCAUAAUAUUGACACUGAGAUUCGAAAGCGUGGGUAGCAAACAGGAUUAGAUACCCCCGUAGUC
rnacentral:rRNA from 1 species